UUCUAAAACACAGAGAGGUUAAGUACUAUGACUGUAUCACACAGCCUGUACCUACGACAGCUGAGAUUUGUACUUGGCCACAUCUCCAAAGACACUCUUGGCUCCUCUAUCACAGACAAGAGAAAAGAAAACCAGAAAGUAAUAAAGGACUUGAAGAAGUAUAUUCCUCAAGCUUGGAAGCCCCACACAGGCAGUCCCUGUUGUCCUGCUCAAAGAGGGACCCACCCAGGGGGAAGACAAGCUGUGCUCCUUGAUGCCAGCCUGGAAGAAUUCCCUCAGUUUCAUCUCUUGGAAAUCUCACAUUUGUGCAAGGUUCUCAGCAAAUGCCGCUGCUCCGUGAAACCCACUUGCAGUCUCCAGCCAGCUCGCAUGGAGUCAGUCUGCGAACAAAGGAAGUGGACAGGGUCACACCUGUGAUUUUCCAAACCCCACAGUCCUCUGCGCCUUUCUUAUCUCAGCCAAUGGAUAGCUGUGCCCUGCCUUUAUUCACCCACUGUGAGCAUGUGAACUUCUUAAGGUGAGACCGAGGGUGUGCUCUGCUGAACCACAUGCGGAGACCAAGAAAUAGUCAUUGCUUCGUGAAUUGCAUGGUUCUUGUUUUAAAGAACGACAUUCUAAAAGCAGAGUCUACCUGAAUGGAGACAUGAUGAAUGUGGCUCUUCAACCAAGUCCUCAGAACAUGGAGCUUGAGAACUUAGAAGCCAUCGGUUGGUACUCUCUUUCACAUGCGAAGAACCUCUGGUUCUGGGUGUCCUUGGUCUUGGUUCAGAUAAGCUGGCUGGAAAAGACCAGAGUUCAGCCAGCAGGUCUUCAGAAUGCUCUGGAAGACAUAACUGUGGGCAUAACUUAACAUGUGUCAGUUUAUCCUUGAGUGUAAAGUGCACUUCGUGGUUGGAUAUGGUAACUGGCUAACUAUUCAUAGUUCCCCACUCCCUCCCGUUUACUGCCUGUUUCUAAGCAGCAAAGUUGUGGUUCAGUGACUUCUGUCUGGAUAAUAUGAAAACAGGGCACCCAGCCAAUUUUGAUGAGCUAACUAUUUCCCUAAAUUAUCAUGCCUAAGCAAAGGGCCCCAAACCUGCUGUUCAACACUUAUCAUUGGAUCUGGGGGAUGGGCUACGCUCAGGCAUAUCAUCAAAUAGCUGAAAUUUUACAUUUAAGAUCGUCAAGCAGUGAAAACUGGCAUUCUUAGAAAUGACUGACAGUUCCCCUGCCUCAUUUCUGCUACGCUGAAUUAGGUAAAGGGGGAAAAAAAAUCACCCUCACUCUUUUUACGGAUUUCUUGCUGGAAACCCAUGUGACAGGAUUAUAAAUUUUCACCAGAUUGAUGGGAGAACGGACAUUUCAAAGGUGCCUGAAAGGUCCCAAUUAACAGAAUGCAGCUAACACCUCAAAAAAAAAGAAUAAAUGUUGCAGUGGGAAUGAAUCUUGCUCGGAGUGCUGUGCUGUUGGCUGAUUGCCUGGCAAGAGUGGUGGCCAGGACUUGCCAGCUGGCUGAUCCGCACGCCUGUAAAGGAUGCGGUCAGCUUACACCUUGGAUUUUGAUGGAAAUCUUAGAGGUCGGCAGGCGUUCUCCCUAGUAAAGUACCUUAGAUCAGGUCAUUGCUUUUGUUUCAGGGAAGAAAAUGUCCUGAUGGCCAGGAUCAGUAAGACCAAGUCCGCACUCUGCUCCAAGGGAGAAUCCAUUACUGGAUCAGAAUAGAUACAUACCCUGAAGGAGACACAGGUUAUAAUUGAAGGUGGCACACUCAUCUACAAAAUCCCCAAGUUAAACCAGUCAUGCCACUGAAGCAAACCAACUGGCUCGCCAACAACCACACUUCUUCCCCCAAGUUCCUCUCAACAACCAGUUUGUCAGACUCUCAACUCCAGAGCUACUGGUGUCCUAGCCUCUGGGGUUUACUCGUGGUCAGCUGUGAGGAGUUGUAUUGCUAGUUUGUUCUGCGUAGAUCUGAAGACAGAGAUCAGGUGUAGCCCCAACGAGGGUUAGCUUAGUACUUCUCACAGGGAGGCAUUCAGUGAAUGACAGAGGGGCCAAAGGAGCUUCCAUUGUCCAGAGUCUACACUGAACAUUUUAAAAACUGUUUGCAGAAAUUGGCAAAAUCUCUAUCAGUCUCCCAAAUCUCCCAAAUGGAUUUAUUUUUUGAAAGGUAUUCAAAACUGACUUUAACAUUUAUUUAUUAAAAACUAGCACACAAAAAUAUCCAGAAAAAAAACAGAAAACAAAAAAACAAAAAACAAAAAAAAAACCACCCUGGGAAAGUUUGAAAGCCAAAUUCAGACUGGGAAAAGCGUUUGCAAGACUGAAGAUGUACAUAACAAAGGGUCAAUGUCCUUACUAUAGAAGAGUGGACAAAGAACGUGAUCUGGGAAUUUACAAAAUGAGAAGGGACCUUUCAACAUAUGAAAGCAUUUUCAACCUUACAAGUAACCAAAGAAUACAAAUGGAACCAGAUACCUCUUUCCAUCUAUUGAUAGGGAAAAACUGUACUCUAAGAUGGCUCACCAAAUCAGCAAGGGAAUUCCAGUCCCUGUCUCAAAGCCCUUCCAGGUUCUUCUUUCCUAUCCCAUUUCCCGCGCGCCAAAAGUACCAGGUAUGCAGAAGCAGAAGGGCAUAAAUUCCCCUCCCUGCUUGUGCUCGGGGCGCAGACCUUUGGAGAACAACGUCGUCUGAGCCUUCCCCCCCGCCCCCCGG